rnacentral:rRNA from 1 species
UACGGGGGGGGCAAGCGUUGUUCGGAAUUACUGGGCGUAAAGGGCUCGUAGGUGGCCAACUAAGUCAGACGUGAAAUCCCCAGGCUCAACUUGGGAACUGCGUCUGAUACUGGAUGGCUUGAAUUCGGGAGAGGGAUGCAGAAUUCCAGGUGUAGCGGUGAAAUGCGUAGAUAUCUGGAGGAACACCGGUGGCGAAGGCGGCAUCCUGGACCAACACUGACGCUGAUGCACGAAAGCGUGGGGAGCAAACAGG